rnacentral:rRNA from 1 species
GACGAACGCUGGCGGCGUGCUUAACACAUGCAAGUCGAACGGAAAGGCCCUGCUUUUGUGGGGUGCUCGAGUGGCGAACGGGUGAGUAACACGUGAGUAACCUGCCCUUGACUUUGGGAUAACUUCAGGAAACUGGGGCUCAUACCGGAUAGGAGCUCCUGCUGCAUGGUGGGGGUUGGAAAGUUUCGGCGGUUGGGGAUGGUCUCGCGGCUUAUCAGCUUGUUGGUGGGGUAGUGGCUUACCAAGGCUUUGACGGGUAGCCGGCCUGAGAGGGUGACCGGCCACAUGGGGACUGAGAUACGGCCCAGACUGCUACGGGAGGCAGCAGGGGGGAAUAUUGCACAAUGGGCGGAAGCCUGAUGCAGCAACGCCGCGUGCGGGAUGACGGCCUUCGGGUUGUAAACCGCUUUCGCCUGUGACGAAGCGUGAGUGACGGUAAUGGGUAAAGAAGCACCGGCUAACUACGUG